rnacentral:hammerhead_ribozyme from 1 species
AUUUAGCAUACGAGUCCCAAAUAGAAUGAAACGCCCGUCCUGGAU